rnacentral:rRNA from 1 species
CGCAGCGAGNGGUGCUUGCACCUUUCAAGCGAGUGNNNNNNNGGUGANUAACACGUGGAUAACCUGCCUCAAGGNNNNNNAUAACAUUUGGAAACAGAUGCUAAUACCGAAUAAAACUUAGUAUCGCAUGAUAUCAAGUUAAAAGGCGCUACGGCGUCACCUAGAGAUGGAUCCGCGGUGCAUUAGUUAGUUGGUGGGGUAAAGGCUUACCAAGACGAUGAUGCAUAGCCGAGUUGAGAGACUGAUCGGCCACAUUGGGACUGAGACACGGCCCAAACUCCUACGGGAGGCUGCAGUAGGGAAUCUUCCACAAUGGGCGCAAGCCUGAUGGAGCAACGCCGCGUGUGUGAUGAAGGCUUUCGGGUCGUAAAGCACUGUUGUAUGGGAAGAAAUGCUAAAAUAGGGAAUGAUUUUAGUUUGACGGUACCAUACCAGAAAGGGACGGCUAAAUACGUGCCAGCAGCCGCGGUAAUACGUAUGUCCCGAGCGUUAUCCGGAUUUAUUGGGCGUAAAG